rnacentral:rRNA from 1 species
UGCUCCAAAUGAUUUUUUAAAUUGCAUGUGGUAUUUUGACUAUACAAAGGUAUUGAAAUAAGAUUUUAAUUGAAUGCUAAGAGAAUGGAAGUCCAAGAAAAAAACAUUUUUUUAAAUUAAAAAUCUGAAGUUUUUUUAAUUUGUGCAGAAACAAUUAUUUAUAUUAAAGACAAGAAGACCACUAUGAAUUUAUUAAAUUUUUAUUUAAUAUGUAAUUACUAUUAGAAAAUUUUGGCUGGGGCGGCUAGAAAAUAUUAUAAACUUUUUAAAAAUAAAAUGAUCCAUUAUUAAUGAUUUUAUGUUAAAUACUCUAGGGAUAC